GAGUGGUUCUGCACAAAGGAAAGCACAUUAUUAACUGAAGGACUUCACACACCACGUAUAUGCUUGACAUGGUGCCGGGCGCUACUGGAAGCAUCAACGAAUCAAUCAAAGUGGAGGGGGUAAUGAAUACUCACCACCAGAUGGCAAAAGUGGAGUAACCCACUGCUGAUGAUGGCUGGGAUGAUGCGAGGUAAUUCCUGAAUCUCAUAGCAGCAGAAGUGAACCUUCUCAUCUAGCAGGGUCUUAGUCCACCUGUACAGGAUGGACUGGGCCCAAGGAAAGGCACUUGUUAUUUGAUGCAGAGGUCAGCAAACUAUGGCCCAUGGAAAAAAUCCAGCCCACUGCCUGUUUUUGUAAAUAAAGUAUAAUUAGCACACAGCUGCACCUAUUAUUUCUGUAUUGUCUAUGCUUAUUUCAUGCUGUGACAGCAGAGCUGAGUAGUUGUGACAGGGACCUUCUGACCCCAAACCCUAAAAUAUUUACUCUUGCCCUUUAUAGAAAGUGUGUUUGCUCUUACUGUAAAUACAGAAGACUUUAUAUAACAGGCAGAACUUGGAACUUGAUCCAGACAGGAAAAUUAAAACUCUGACCAUGGGAGAGGGAGUCACAAACUCCAAGUUCUGAUGAGAUCCUGUUAUUCAGUCUUUGUAUUAUCUAGAGAACAUAGCAGCAGCUUUGAGUCUCAUUGUUCUGAUUUGUAAAAUGGACACAGUACUACCUGCUCAUGAAUUCAGAAGACUGGAUGACACAAUGGAUGAUAAUCAUUAAUAGCUAAAUUUUAUUGCAGACUUAUUGAUCAGGAAUUUUUUUUUGGCAAGUACUUAGCUAUUUAUUUGAACCUCAGUGUAACCCUAUGAAUGGGUUACUUGGUAUAAAGGCAUUUCUCAUUAGAAACUGUUAGUGUGCUCUUCUCUUUUGCACUGUCAGUGCUGUGAUCCUUGUCCUUGUAACUCAAAGGCUGACAUCUGCCUAGAGUAGGGGGAAGAAGCCUGGGAUUUGGUAAGAAAGGAAAUUUGUACCAGAGGAGGAGAUAAUUCUUCAUUUCUGAGAUGCAAAAGUAAAGCUGAUGACAGGACAAUUUGCAAAUUGGACAAUGUACUUGCAGCAAGAUUUAUGAUUUUUAUUCUCUUUUUGGAGUAUGGUGGAAUUGGGAUACGCAUAGAGGAUCUCUUUUAUAGAGUUGCUCCAUUCUAUGAAAUGGAUAUCCCUUCUGUUCAUGCAGCUUAGCUUAUUUUGGGGUUUCAGAAUGUAGGAGGAGUAAAAGGCCAAUAGCCCUUCCCUUUUCUGGGCUAAUUAAUUAUAGGAAGAGAAAUUGAAAGCAGAGUGGGAAAGAGGAUGGAGUGUGGCUGGACUUGUCCAGUCCUAGGAUUGGGAGCAAGGAAGGUGGUUCUAUUACAUAAUUGAGGAGUUUGGACCAGCAUCUCAUCUGGGACUGCCACAGCAUUGACCUGGGGCAGGUUGUACAGGUGGAUGGAAGGAGCUUCUUGGCUUUAGGUUCGCUAGCACCAUAGGAUGGAACUUGAGCAGGAGUCAUGGACCUGCCAUGGGGCUCUGUCAUAUGGCAUGAAGGGAAAACACUAGAGAUUUGGGUGUGUGGCAGCAGGAAAGUCUGAGAGAGUUAGCUUGUAGCCAUGGGCUUGAUCCAAGAAGAGACAGAAGCCAGACUCCAGCUGUAGGUGCCAGCAUGCAGCAGAAACCGGGGGAUCAGGACCUUGUCCCUGGACAUCUGAGGACUCACUAAGCCAGAAACCUUGAGCUUCUCAGACACGAAGGCUCACUUGGUUUCUCAUCAUGAUACCUUGAUGCCUGCUUAAGGGAGAGAGACAGCGGAGGGAGUCUCUGAUGGUCUGAGCAUUUUGUUGGGGGAGACUGAGCUAAAGUUUUAUGCUGAGCUCAGUUUUAAACAAGAAUUUUUUUAAAAUUUCUUCUCUACAUUCCUCCUGUCCCUGCCACAAUUUCUACUAAUAGAGAAUGAGGGUGGGAAAGUCAGAUUAACUGUGGUAAACGUGUUUACAAUUGUAGAUGCUUUAGACUUAUUGCGGCAUUAUUUCCUGAUAAACCCACCUUAAGUUGAAAAUAUGGUCUGUCUAAAAUGUACUUAAACAUUUCGCUUAGCAAAUGUCAUCGCUUAGUUUUGUCUCCCUUACAUGUCUAUGGAACACUCACAUUAGCCUCCAGGUGGGCAAAAUCAUCUAACUUGAAGGGUCUUUCAUAAUAAAUAAAGUCUCAUGUAAUUUAUUGACUGCUGUUCUGAAAGUGAAAAAUAAAAAUGAAUGCACUUUAACACAAUCAUUAACUCAGGCCAUUGUAAGUCAGGGACUUAUAUAUGGAUUUUGAAAUUCAUGCAAAGUUUUUCCAUAAUCUACAUUUUCCUUGAGCUUCUUGAAGAGUCCUUGUAUACAUGGAUUUCAUCUUUUAUACUCAGAUGUCUUUUAAUUUAACUUUCUAUGAAUUUUUAUAGAUUUUUUAGUGCAAACAAGUUGUAUUGUGAAUUAAAAGCAACUAACAAUCACUUAACAUUAUCAUGACCUUGAUUUACAUUCUUCUUUCUGACUCCAGAAUUAGGUUGCUACUGAACACUUUCAGGACUUACAUAAACUUUAAAAGCUGCUGUAGUUCUUACUGUAAUUAUCAUUGUUAAGAUUAAAAUUCAGGCUAGACUCAGUGCUCUGGAAGACACUAGAUGUGAGCAAAUGUGAAGCAGGGUCUUGGGAAACAAUGAAUGAGAGCAACAAUGGGCUACUUACUUAUACAUAGAUCUGAACCAUAGCCCACCUGGGGGUCCUGGCACAAGCCAGGGCUGUCUUUUCAGUCAUGCAUUAUUUUUUGCUUUCUCUAUGUUUUCAGCUUCACUUUAAAGAAAAGGUGGAAAGCAGUCCUGGAAAUGGAAGGGCUCUAGCUCUACAGGAGACCUUGCAAGGACUGGUUUCUCUCCUGGUCUCCAGCCUCAUGCCAGUUGCUCAGAACAGGUACAAAAGGAGGAGCAGGUGGUGGUUAGACAGCAGGUGCAGAGGGGCCAGGGUGAGAUGCAAGGGGAAGCAGUGCUUCUCCUCACCUCCAAAGGCUAGAGUUAGCCUCUGAAGCCCUGGCUGUGGUCUAGCUAGCUGGCAACUCCUCCUGCAUGCCAGACAGAGAAUGAGUGCUGAGCCCUUGGAACACCAUCUGCUGUGCAUGUCCUGGUACACGCUGGUUGCUUGACUUUGAGUGAUUUGGAAGUUACUUAUGCAACAAGCUCUAAGUUCAAUCUCCAAACACAGUUUUCCUACAAAGCAACUGUUUGCCCUCUUCAUGAGAGGUCGCUGAACUCUGUGAUGAUUCUGGUGGGAACAGGCUAUCAUGAUAGCUCAUCUGUAGCUACUCUUUGGGAGAAGAAAAAUAAUACUUUAUAGAAAUGAUUAGGAUUGAGUUAGAGUUGUGAAUAGGGCCUGGCUUUGGUCCUAUCCUAUAGAAUUCAUCCCAAAUAUGUUCUAAUGUGUAGGCAAGUUUCCAAGUUAGAAACUACAGGGCUGAAAUGUGGCUAAGUCUAGGUUGGAAAGCAGGCAUCCUAAUGUCUCCACCUGCCACAGCAGCUGAGAGGAAGAAUCAAUGAGGGUUGGAUUUAGUCUGAGCAAUGUGUUUUUUCUAUGAAUGUUUGCCUAUUUACAUCCAUCUUACUGAAAUUAUUAAAAGCACAAAGGAAUGGGUUUGUAGAAAACUUUUCCUUCUGUUAUUUUUGUUUUCCUGUACUGUCCACAGUUUUUACAAUGCAUGCAUUCUUUGUUUCUUUGGAGAAAAAAAAAAGACACUGUAAAACAAAGUGUGCAUGUGUGUGGGAGGAAUAGAGUCUGGUUAAUGGGAACCAAAUCAGAGUUAGGUCAAAGGAAUCGGUUCUUAGUGUUACAGAGCAUAGAGGGGUGACUACAGUUUAUAAUACCCUAGUAUAUUUUUUAUGAACAAUAGAAGAAAAGAGCUGCAAGCCUCCAGUCAUGAAGGAAAGUGCCUGAAGGGGAAAUGCUGAUUACCCUGAUUAAAAUGCCACAUGGUAGUCCAUGGAAGAGUACAGUUUUUAAUAAAAUUUCUUUUUCAAACAGAAUGAACACUUGAAUCUUAACAGCUGUAAACCCUCUGUGACCUCAGAUUGUGGUGAGGAGUAGGAAAGAGGGUGAAGAGAGCCCCUUUUAAGGAUCCAGCCUUGCUUGCUCACCCCAUCUAAUUCAUAAAGGAGUGUCAAGACUGCUGCACAGACAGUGGUCUGGGGUCAGAUGACAUUAAGGAAUGGUUGCUUAAUUUUCUUGUGGGUAAUGAGAUGUUGAGGAUAAAUAGGCAGAAGCCCUUUUGAGGGUACUUCAGAAACUUCAUGGAAAAUACUCAUGAAAAAUCAUGCAUGAUUUCAACAUUUUUUGCACCAAAAUAAAUGUAUUUUUAAUCUUAUUUUUCCAUGAACCUUUUGAAAAAUUCACUUUUUUGUAGGAGAUACAGAGUGGAAAUGCUGAAGGGUGAAGUGCCAUGUGUGCUGCUCAGUUUGGCACGUUUUCAGUAAAGAAAAUGCAAAGCAAAUACUGCAAAAAGGUACACGGUAUUGGGUUUGAUGAUUGCUGUCUGUGUAUUCUUAGCACUCUUCUGUUGCUUUCCUGCUUGUUUGAAACUUUUUCUAACAAAAAGUUGAAAACGAAAACAAAGACUUGCUUCAGUUUUCCCUUUCUUUCAUCUAUUAUUCCUCUUCUUUUUGUCUUGAACCUUCUUGCCUUUUCCUUCACCUACCUGAACUGGCACAAGUGUGGCUGACAAGGAAGCCUGUUCCUGGCGGGGAUGAAGAAAACAAGUCAUUCUGGGUGCUCAUCAAUGCCAUCCUCCCUACCAUUUGACACCCAGCACCCUAUCCUCUAACAUCUGUGUGUUGGUGUAAGACUGUUCAUUGCGCUGUUGUUUGUCCUACUUUCAACUGGAAAUAACCUUCAUUUUCAUGUUAAGUAGAGGGCCAAAUAGUUCAAGAUGCAUCUAUACAAUGAAAGAGCAUGCAGGCAAAGCAAGCUUGUGUGUGUUUUUUUUAAAUUAUUUGAGUUAUUUUUGUUAUUUACGUUGUUCUGAAAACAAAAAGAAAAAUAAAAGCAAAUAAACUUCCAGUCACUCAAAUAGUCAAAACAAAAAGGCAUCUUAAUACAAAUGUGGACACUUUAAAGAUGACUUUUCAAAGAGGAUAUCCAUGUGGUUAUUAAAUAUUCAAAAUAUUCAACAUAGGUAAUUCAUAAUCAGGUAAUUUAAAAUUGAAGCCAUAGUGAGGUGUCUCUGGAGACCAACUGAAUUGGCUAAAACGAAAGUCUGAUAUAAUUUAAAGGGUUAGAGAGGAUGUAGGGACACUGGACACUGCACACUGAGAUUGGGUGUGUACAUUAGUAGUCAAGUCACUCAAGAAAAGUAGUUUGACAUAAUGUAAUUUAAAGGUACACAUUCGGCCGGCGCCGUGGCUCACUAGGCUAAUCCUCCACCUUGCGGCGCCGACACACAGGGUUCUAGUCCCGGUCGGGGCGCCGGAUUCUGUCCCGGUUGCCCCUCUUCCAGGCCAGCUCUCUGCUGUGGCCAGAGAGUGCAGUGGAGGAUGGCGCAAGUCCUUGGGCCCUGCACCCCAUGGGAAACCAGGAGAGGCACCUGGCUCCUGGCUUCGGAUCAGCGCGGUGCGCCGGCCGCGGUGGCCGUUGGAGGGUGAACCAAAGGCAAAGGAAGACCUUUCUCUCUCUCUCUCUCUCUCACUGUCCACUCUGCCUGUCAAAAUAAAUAAAUAAAGGUACUCAUUCUUUAGGAUUCAGCAAUUCCUUCCUAGGAGUAUUCUGUGAAGAAAUUCAUGUGUAGACAUAGUAUGAAACAUAUGUGAGAGUAUAAGAGUACAUUUGAACUGGCAACAUCUCAAAUACCCAUCCACGGUAGUAUGAAUAAGUGAGUUGUAAUUUGUUAUAUAGUAGACUAUUGUACUGCAAGAAAAAUGUACAAACGAUAACUCUAAGAAACAUUUUAAAUUAAUGUCAAACACAAUGUUAAGCAAAAGAAGCAAGAAAAAUAAGAAUUCCCACUACACACAAUCUAAAAAGCAGGCAAUAAUUAGAUGAUAUUGUUCAGGUUUGCUUGCAUAGAAUGUUAAAUCAUAAACCAAAUCAAGGAAAUAAUGACCUUGAAACUCAGCACUGGUGUUAACUUGGUGGGGAGUUAGAAGUCUGUGAUUGGCACAGACACAUGGGGGCUUUCUGGCCAUGUGCUAGGUUUCCUCCUGGGCGGUGAUUACACUUGAGUCCCUUCUGUUGCUCAGUAGAAUAUUUAUGUGAUACAUUUUCUAUGACUCUGUAUAAUGCACUUUGCUGUACUUCUUGGUGAUUAUUACAUAGAAACAUUAAAAUUGAUAUGCAGAAUAUAAUCGUGCUUUCUCCUGUUACUUCUAUAUGUUUUUUUUUUCUUCCGUCUUUAUAAGAUUGCAGAGAUAAGCAUCUUGUCAUGCACUUAUUAGUCAUCCUGAAGUGGUAAAAUAUAUUUUUAUUUUUCUUGAUUGUGUUAUUCAUCUUCUCACUACUGAGGAGUAUAAAGAGGUAUUUUAUAUAUUCAGGAUUCUAGUCCAUUGCCAAAUGAAUGUGAAUAUAUACGAAUCUUUUCUUCUGGUCUGUGGUUUACUUUCUUAUUAUUGUUUUCAAUCUUAAUUUUAGAAGAAUAAAAGCUCUUAAUUUCAUAAACCUCCUUUGACCAGGUGUGUUUAUUUGUUUAAAGCUCUUUUCUAGUUUUUUUUCUUUAAUCUUGACAAACUCAAAGUUUGUGAAGAUUUCCUCUUAUGCCUUCUCCUGGAAACAGUAUUGUUUUAGCUUUUAUGGCCCUGUCUAAAAUUCAGUUCAUAUGAUUUUGUGUAUGAUGUGAUUUUCUUCAUAAAUACCAUUUUUCUAUAUUACUGCUCCUCAUUUGUUCCAGCAUUGUUUGUUGAAAACAUCUAUCCUUUUAUCAUUAUAUUACUUCCAUUCCAUUGUUGCAAACAUAUUGACUAUGUUGGGGGCCUGGUUCUGGAUUCUGGAUUCUGUUCCCUUUAUUUAUAUAUCCAUCUUUAUGCCAAUACUUAACACUCUUGGCUACUGAUUUCAUAAUAGGAUUUGAAAUAGGAUAGUGAAAGUCCUCCUUUGUUUCUUUUUAUCAAAAUAGUCUUGCUUACACUAGAUAUUUUACAUUUUAAUAUAAAUUCUAGAAUUGGCUUGUCAAUUCUUACAAAAUUAUGCUGAGAUUUUCAUUACAAUAAUCUAUAGCUUAAUUUGGGAAAAAUUGACACCUCAAUCUAUCACGUCUUCUAAUUUACAAACAUGGAGUUUCUCUCUGUUUAAUUAAGUCAUCUUUAAUUUUCUAAGCAAUAUUUGCGGUUUUCAGUUUAUAAGUCUCACACAUAUUUUGCUGAUUUUAUUUCUAAGCACUUUAUAAUUUAAAUUUUUUAUCGUAAAUUAUUCUUCUCUUAAAUUUUGAUUUCCAAGUGUUCAUUUUUAGUAUUUAGAAACAUAAUAGACAUGUAAAAAAUAAUUAUUUAUUUGAAAGGCAGAGAGACAGAAAGAGACAGGGAGAGACAGAAAGAUUGUCCCUGUUUGUUUACUCCCCCUGGGCUGGGCCAAGCUGAAGCCCGGAGCUGGGAACUCCACCUGGAUCUUUCACAGGCAUGGCAGGGACUCAAGUACCUGAGCUGUAAUGGGCUGCUCCCUAGCAUAGUAGCAGGGUGCUGGCUUGGAAAUGAGCUAGCUGUGAUGUAAACAGGAAUUGCGAUAUGGGAUGCAAACAUGUGAAACGGUGGCUUAACCUGCUAUGGCACAGCUCCAGCCCGUGGUUUUUGGAUAUAGACUUUGUAUUCAGCAAAUUGCUCUACCAGUUAGGACCCAUUCAGGUAACAGAAACCAAUAAGUAGAAUACAGCAUUUUAAUACAGUUUUAUUUCUUUAAGAAGGUGUAAUUUAACAGUAAAGGAAGAGUAAUUACUACAUGGAGUAAAAGAGAUAUGGAGAUUAGAACUGCCACUGGGACUGAGGCAGAGCAGCCAAAGUCAGGGUUAAGAGCCCAGGAGAGUCUUCAUUCCUUUGUGUUGGUGGAACAAAAUACCACACCCUGAAUAAUUUACAGAUGAUAGGAACUUCUACACACGCAGGGAGGUGGGGAAGUUGAAGAUCAAGGCACUGGCACACGUGGAUAUCUGGUGAAGAUUGCUCUCUGCUUCUAAAUGGUGCCUUGACACUGCCUUCUGUAGAGAAGAGGAAUUCUGUCUUACACAGCAGAAGGCGGAAGAGCAAAGGAGCCCAAGGCUGUAGGAAUCACUUUUUGUAACUAUCUUAAUCCUAUGUAAGAGGGAGGAGCCCUCAUAAAGGCCCUGCCUCUCUUAACACCAUAGCACAGCCCACUAAGUUCUAACACCUGAGAUCUGGAGGGUACACAUUCAAACCAUAGCAGGGCUGCAUGUUAACCUGCUGCAGUCCUGGUUGAAGAAGGCCUGACUGCAAGACCAGUGGGUGAUAGGUGUUUUGAAGUGCUGGUGGGCUGGAAACAGUCCACAGAAAGCCACCUGCUGGGAUGCCAGAGAAUCAGUGAGCUUAGGUAUGCUCUUAGUACUCAGAGUUUAUGGAGAAAACAACAGAAGGAGGAAGAGAAUCCUUUUCCUCUGCUCUGGUUGCAGGGUCAAGACUGACACUGCACGAAGUAGAACAGAACAAAUGUUCAUAGGUUUCAACUCUAUCAUCACCAUGCAGGGUAGAAAGCUGGGUUUGAAAGCAAGAGGUGAUACAUUGAUAACCAGAACAUGUAUGGUAAACUUACAUGCAGUUCUAGUAGCUAUGUGCUUUCCUUAAUAAUUUCUUUUCUAGUUUAUUAGCAUUUUCUGUUUUUGCUGUUGCUGUUAUUAGAUGUUAAUAAAGCAAUUUUACUUCCAUCAUUCCAACCUGGUGCCUAUUACUCUUUUUCAUAACUUACUCUACUGGAUAAGACUUCCAGGAGAAUUUUUUUUUCAGCAGUGGUAAGUAUAUACAUUCUAGGCUUUCCCCUAAUCUAAAGGGUAAAACAUUAAAAUUUUUGUCAUUAAAUGUAUUGUUAACCGUAGGUCUUCUUAAAAAAAAAAUCAAACAAAACAAAACAGGCUCUGGGGCUUGCAUUGUGGCAUGGUGGGUAAAACUGCCACCUGCCUUGCCAGCAUCUCAUGAGGGUACUGGUUCAAGCUUGGCUGCUCUACUUCCAGUCCUGCUCCCUGCUAACGGUAUGGGAAAGCAGCAAAAGAUUUCCCAAGUAACUACUUGGUCCCAUGCCACUCACAUGGGAGUCCCAAAUGAAAUGCCUGGCUCCUUGCUUUGGCCUGGCCCAGCCCUCACUGUUGCAGCCAUCUGGGGAAUGAACCAGUAGAUGGAAGAUCUAUCUCUUUCUCUGUCUCUCCCUCUAGCUCUUUAACUCUGCCUUUCAAAUAAAUAAACAAAUGAACUUUAAAAAAAAAAAAAAAACAACAACAGAUUGCCCUUUAUCAGGUUAAGAAUGAUUCCUUCUAUUCACAAUGCACUGAAAAAUCUUCAACAUGAAAAUGUUGAAUUUUCUCAAAUGAUUUCAAUGCAUUAUUUGAUAUCAUCAUACAGUUUACUUCUUUAGUCUGUGGUACCUACAGUAAAUUAUAUCAAUUGGUUUUCAGAUAUUGGCUGAACUCUGUAAUUAAUACACAGUUAUUCUUAAGUGUUGAAACUUAACUGAAAAGUGAUCCCUGUUAAAUGUAAGAGUGGGAAUAAGAGAGGGAAGAGAUGUACAAUUUGGGACAUGCUCAAUUGGACUUGCCCCAAAUGGUAGAGUUAGAAAUGUGCUGUUGGAAUACGAUCGAAGUCGGCGAGCUCAAAAGGCUUCCAUAGCCUUGGCAACUCAUGACUAGAGCCUAGGGAGAUUACUGACGCCAUAAACAAGAGUGUCAAAUUGUUAAGUCAACAGCAGGAGUCACUGUGCACUUACUCCUCAUGUAGGAUCUCUAUCCUUAAUGUGUUGUCCAAUGUGAAGUAAUGCUAUAACUAGUACUGAAACAGUAUUUUACACUUUAUGUUCUGUGUGGGUGCA